UCUCAAGGGGGGACGAUAAACCAACUACAUCGCCGUAUUUCCAUUUCAAUAAAAUGAAAGGAAGAAAUAAGGGAUUAUUAAUAAAAUGAAAAAUAAAAAAUCUAACUUGGAUAUUGGUAAUGCCGUAGUGGGCAACCACGAACAGAGGAAAGCCGUUGGUCGGUCGUCGGAAGCUAAACAUCUAUGGCCGGAGUCAUGUACAUAGUUCCGGCAAAUGCUCCGCCGCGGGCUUUCUUUCCCUCCGCCCCCAAUUUCCGGCCAAUAAUUUCACCGUUCAUAAACCCUAGGCCCCUCCACCUCCGAAAUUCCCUUUCCAGAAUAUCCCUCUCGUUCUCCUUCCGAAAAGGAAACAACAUGCCACCGGAAACAGGCUGCCCUGUUCCGCCGGAGCAGCAGCCGAUUAACGAGUAUCAGACUCUCUCCACCUCAUUCCCCUUCUCCUGGGCGUCCGGAGACAUCGUCGAGUACUGUUCUCGAUUGGUCGCCACCGGCGCGUCCUUCGCGCUAUUCGUCGGGCUUCCGAUUACUUGGUUCGGCACUGUGGGGGUCGAAUCCGAUCCGCUGAAACGAUCUCUUUGCGCUGUUUCGAGUGGAAUUUUGUUUGUCACGAUUGCGGUUGUGAGGAUGUAUCUCGGUUGGGCCUACGUCGGAAACCGUCUCCUUAGUGCGACUGUCGAAUACGAAGAGACCGGAUGGUACGACGGCCAGAUUUGGGUAAAAACCGCUCAAGUUUUAGCGCGCGACCGCCUCCUCGGUUCCUACACUGUGAAGCCGGUGCUGAAUAGGCUAAAAUACACUCUCGUAACCCUAGCGGCGUCUCUGUUUGUAUCCAUAGUUGUGCUCAUCAACAUCGAUGGAGGCCAAUUGCUAGGGCCUUUAUUCACCGGAAAAUCUGCAGAAGUUGACGGCGGCAGAGUAAUUCCCGGCGUUUAUAGCGACGAAUCUGCCAGAUCUUUCGAGCCUGAUGCAUUCUGUGGACCUGGGGAAUGAGAUCUUCUUCAGUGACAUUCAUUCUGCUCCACGCCUUCCAAUAAAUAUAUAAAUAGAUAUAUUUCUACCCACCUCAGCAGAGUCAAAUUCGAUGAUUUAAUGAUGUAAGAAUUCUAAUCUUCUACUUCAAGGGAAAAAAAGUAGCACGAGAAGGAAACUUUUCAAGUAAAAAAUGAUCGAUGUUCCUUCGAUUUAUCGAACAUGUGAGAGAACGAAGGAACGCAUUAAGCCUAUAAAUCGAUCCACUAGUAAUCUUCAUGAUGGAAAAAACGACAUUGUUGAUUCCAGAGAAGUAAACAAAGGACCGUCGGUUGUCUGACCAAUUGACUCGGACACUAGACCGUUCGUGCCCACCCUGAUAACUACACCUGCUUGUCUUAAUGGGACUUUCAACAAAUACCAGAGCCAUGGGUUGACAGAUCAAGUAACCUAAAAUGAUCUCAAUUCACAGUCUUGUGCAAUGUCUUAUCUAGACAAUUCAAAUGUCUCAUCCAUUUGUCUUUCUCAAUCCAUAUUCUAAUGUCGAGCUGGAUUA